ACAUUCUUCUCGUCUGUCACUCUCUGACACUCCACAUCGAACCAACCCGUCCUGGGUCGCCUCUGUGCAGUGCCUACCACUUCUCGUGCUGUUGUGCUCACCGCUCCAUGGAUCAACUCCCAUAGAUCGUUGAUGUUGUCGCUAACGUUGAUUGCACUUAUCCGUCGAGCUUCUGGCGGUACUCAGCCGGUACUCCUUCCGCCGAUAAUCGCUGGAUAUUGUAACGCAUCGUUCGCUGUGAUCUUUCGUUCGAUACAGUUGACAACCGUGAUCCAAAGCUGAUAAAACCACGGGACUGACACUUGUAUACCUCCACCACAGUUCAUUUCGUAGCCAACAUAGAAAAUUCCGCACUGACAGCCAUAAGAAGAAUCAUGGGAAAGAAAGAGAUAGGUGCGUUCCACACGGACAGUUUCAUAAACGACAAGCAGAAGAAACGAGACUGCAUCUACACUACGAAAAGACAACCAAAACAUCAGACCCCCUGAUAAAACCUAUCCAGAAAUCAAUGCGGCAAAGAAUCGUCGUGCUUGUGCGAAGAUAAUUCUCUUGCUAGACCUGAUCACCUACGUUCACGUGAAAGAGGCGAAGUCUACUAGGGAAGUCUGGACAAAGCUAGAAGCAGCGUUUAAAGACGAGUAGGACUCCUGAUGAAGCUGAUUACGACGAACCUCAUUCAUUGUGAUUCCAUGGAGACGAAUGUAACUCAGAUCAUGUCUACUGCUCAUCAACUAAAGGGCGUCUGGUUCGAGAUCACCGAAGAGGUGGUAGGAACACUGCUUCUCCCAGGACUUCCGGAUGAUUAUCGACUCAUGAUAAUGGCGAUUGAGAAUUCUGUAUCGAAGAUUACUGGUGGUAGUAUUGAAACGAAGUUAAGUACUUCAAAAAGUCAACACAAGUAAGGGGUCGUACACUAAUUACGUGAGCACUUAUGGGGGGAGCGUUUUCUUUCGCUCCACAUAAAUAAAAAAAAUAUUUGUAUGGGAAAAAUCUUACAUGGAGGGAGAGGGGGGGGGUUUGAAAAAUCCAGAAAAAAUUGCUUACGUAAUUAGUGUACUAAGUAGAAAAGACAGCGUUUGUUGGAAGGAAGGUGUUCCCGAACAAGCAGAAGCAAACUGUUAGAAUCGAGAUUUGUGGAGCAUGCGAAAAAGGAAUUCGACCGAAAUACAAGUUUUGUGGUAAAUUUGGACAAAUUGCAAGACAAUGUCUGACAAAGACUAGUUCCGCGUUCUAAACAAUAUUAGCUGCCAAUCGAGGUGGUGAUUGUAGUGGCAAGCGUAGAUUACGCUAUUCGGUAAAAUAGCAGAACCCACCUUGAGGUUCUCUGAGCAUACAGAUAUGUUUGAAUAAACAGUUGUUACUAGAUUGACCACGAACUCAGACGUUUUAUUUUAAAACUAAAGAAGACUCUUUUCGAUAGCAGUAAGCUAUUACAGUGGCGACGAGGAGAUAAUUUUACCAUUUUACCGUUUUUCACAGCCGCCGGUGAGAUUUGUGAGCAUUUUUGGCGUGAUUUUUCGGCCACAAUAAAGAGGCCCGAUACCAGCCCGGCGUCUAUUCAUCAAUUGUGAUCAACUGUGGUAGCCUCACGGUGAAACCGGUUAAACAGGCGAUCCCAUUUUGAGAAGCGAUACUCACGUACGAGAAGUGCCAACUGUCAGCAAGUGAACAUAGCCGGAAAGUGCAUUCUGCGAGCGAAGCGUUCGUUAUCGGUGCAGUAAGGAGUGACGAGAAUAAAUUGGAUAAACUGAUUUCAUCCGGGGUGCUGCUGCUGUUGUUUUUUUUGCUGUUGGUUGCUGUUGGUGUUUUGCUGCUGGUGCAUCGCUAAAUACGGAGCUCAUCUGCCUUUGUCAUAUUGUUGACAUUUUAGCUGGGAAUCAGCUUCUGGUGUUACUUAUCCGAACUGAGAAACCAAUUUAUUAAGGAUUGCUGCUGGGAGUGCUUUUGCUAAGAAGAUCAAUAGCAAGUGAACGUUUGGUGCUAUCGGCUGACUGCUUUGGUGUUUUGGAAGUGUGCUUUUGGUUUUGCACCGCCGCUGCAGAGUUAAAUACACAGGAUGUCAUUGACAACAACCACAGAACCGUAUGUGCCGGGCACGAUCCCCUUUUCCCAAUAUUUGGAACAAUUAGAGUUCCUUUUUGAGCACAAUAAUUAUACAGCAGACAGAUAUAAAAUAUCAUUUUUAGCCGUUUGUGGAGUGGAAGUUUACAGUCAGCUGAAGUUGCUAUUUCCGGGUCAGAAUAUUAAAGAUUUAUCUUACAAACAAAUUACUGAUGAAUUGAAAAAGAGGUAUGACAAGAAAGACUCUGAUGUUAUACACACGUACAAAUUUUGGACCCGUAGGCAAGGGCAAUUUGAAAAAUCAGAGGAUUUUGUACUUGCCAUUAAGCAAAUGGCAGAACUUUGCGGUUUUGGCGAUUUUAAAGAAAGAGCAAUUCGUGAUGCGUUGGUUAUAGGGACCUACGAUAGGAAUGUGCAGAGGAGAUUAUUCGACGAAGAUGAAUUAACAGCUGCUAAAGCAGAAAAGCUUAUUGUGAACCAAGAGUUGUCUUCAAAUAGGACUCGAUUUGUAAACCACGAUGAAGAAAAGAGACUUAGCGUAGUCGCUAGAUUGGGCAGAAGAAAGGAGCGAG